rnacentral:rRNA from 1 species
GGCCGCGGGAAUUCGAUUCAGGCCUAACACAUGCAAGUCGAGCGGGGUUUUCGGACCUAGCGGCGGACGGGUGAGUAAUGCGUAGGAAGCUACCCGAUAGAGGGGGAUACCAGUUGGAAACGACUGUUAAUACCGCAUAAUGUCUACGGACCAAAGUGUGGGACCUUCGGGCCACAUGCUAUCGGAUGCGCCUACGUGGGAUUAGCUAGUUGGUGAGGUAAUGGCUCACCAAGGCGACGAUCUCUAGCUGGUUUGAGAGGAUGAUCAGCCACACUGGAACUGAGACACGGUCCAGACUCCUACGGGAGGCAGCAGUGGGGAAUAUUGGACAAUGGGCGCAAGCCUGAUCCAGCCAUGCCGCGUGUGUGAAGAAGGCCUUCGGGUUGUAAAGCACUUGCAGCGAGGAGGAAGGGUUGUGUGUUAAUAGUACACAGCCUUGACGUACUCGCAGA